rnacentral:lncRNA from 1 species
CGGGGCGUGGGGCGGGGAACUGACCGCGCGACAAGAACACGCACAGCCCGGGGCGUGGGGCGGGGAACUGACCGCGCGACAAGAACACGCACAGCCCGGGGCGUGGGGCGGGGAACUGACCGCGCGACAAGAACACGCACAGCCCAGGGCGUGGGGCGGGGAACUGACCGCGCGAGUCUUUCGGCGCGUCUGGGUCUCGGGGAGAGAAAAGCGCUUCCUGGCACCGGGGGCGGUGGCACAGAGGCCCUGGCCCGGGUCGGGCUUCCACCCCUGCGACCCGCCAGAGGCCCAGGCAGGAAAGGUGGCGCGCGCGAGUGGAGUUAGUGGUUCAGAAAGCAAACCUGGCCAGUUGACCCACAGCUGGAGUGCGAGCUGGGCAAGUAGGUGCUGGGCAACUUCUGGGGAGACUCAGGCCUCCUUAUUGGCCAUCACAAAGCCCCAGAGAAAAAGAUGCUUCCAAAAACUGCAAGAUAAGAGGAACAGACUGCUGCCCAUGCUCCUCUGCCCUGCUGAGCACUCUGGGAGAUGGACCUGGUUGGACACUAGAGCUCCACCCUGCAGCUUUCAGGUGGGCUCAGUAGAUGGGGAUCCUGGAGGAGACUGUAGAGCAGCUGCUGGCACAGUUGUCCUGGAGCUACCUGGGCCCAGAUGCCCCAGCUCUCUCCAUGCAGACCUUUCUACCUACCUCUCCUCUCAUACUGGGCUGUCCGUGUAGCAUGUGUUUUCUCCUGGGACCCUGAAGCACACAUCCAUUCUACUCAUGUAAAACAGACAGCUGCAUAAGAGAAAAUAAUAUAUUCACGUGUACAGCUAUUGGCAAGAAGUCUUCAGAGAUGGAGAAACCGAUGAAGAAUCUUGCUGCAAGAUCCCAACCUAUGCCAAGGGCCACUGCGAGGAGCCAGCAUGGACACAAAAUUCACACCCAGGGCAGCUCCUGUGUCUUCUGAGCCUCUCAUGAGGGCUGCAAGCACAGUGGUCUGGUACUGCCUGCCUGUAAUGUUUUCUUUUAGAAUAGAUCCUGUGUGUAGAUGACAGAGCAUUCUACAUCAUUACUACGUGGGAUGCUGAGAACCAGGUGUUUUCUUCUCUGGGCAUAAGCUCCUGAGGCUCCCGAAAGUCUCAUCCUCCUGGGCCGAGGAUGCUGAAGGGAGCCGUGGGAUGGAAGGCGGGCCCAGAAAGCACACGGGCAGGCAGAAUCUGCUCUGCCCAGCUCCAGUGUCUUUUCUUUACUGUACUCACCGUAUGUUUUCAGAAAGACAGGCCAAGAACAAAAGUGGGAGCCACCUAAAUGUCCAACCAUGAUGGUCCAUGAACACAGUGCAAUGUGCAAGAUAAUUGUGAAAAUUGUGCGGAAGUAUGGGGAACUGCUUAGGAUACACAGUUAAGUGAAUAAGGCAGCAUGUUAAGUGUUAUAUAUGCCAUGGUUACAAUUCCAAAAAUAUGUAUGUACAUAGGCAAAUUCUGGAAGAAUAAAACCAGAA